rnacentral:rRNA from 1 species
AGAGUUUGAUCCUGGCUCAGGACGAACGCUGGCGGCGUGCCUAAUGCAUGCAAGUCGAACGAGGUCCAGUCGGUGGCAACACUGACGAAGACCUAGUGGCGAACGGGUGAGUAACACGUGAGCAACCUGCCCCGAAGACCGGGAUAACACCGGGAAACCGGUGCUAAUACCGGAUGUCCCCACGAGAUCGCAUGGUCAUG